rnacentral:rRNA from 1 species
GACGUAGGGGCCGAGCGUUGUCCGGAGUUACUGGGCGUAAAGGGCGCGCAGGCGGUUGGUCACAUCGGCGGUGAAAGCCCCCCGCUCAACGGGGGAGGGUCCGUCGAGAUGGGCCGACUUGGAGGCAGGGAGAGGGCGGUGGAAUUCCGGGUGUAGUGGUGAAAUGCGUAGAUAUCCGGAGGAACACCAGUGGCGAAGGCGGCCGCCUGGAC